CGGACCGGCGCACGGGUGAGUAACACGUAUGCAACCUGCCCGUCUCAGGGGGAUAAUCGUCGGAAACGGCGUCUAAUACCCUGUAUGAAGCUGGAUGGCAUCGUCUGGUUUUGAAAGAAUAUCGGAGACGGAUGGGCAUGCGGCGCAUUAGCUAGUUGGCGGGGUAACGGCCCACCAAGGCGACGAUGCGUAGGGGUUCUGAGAGGAAGGUCCCCCACACUGGUACUGAGACACGGACCAGACUCCUACGGGAGGCAGCAG
rnacentral:rRNA from 1 species